rnacentral:rRNA from 1 species
CCUACGGGUGGCAGCAGUGAGGAAUAUUGGUCAAUGGGCGCGAGCCUGAACCAGCCAAGUAGCGUGAAGGAUGACUGCCCUACGGGUUUUAAACUUCUUUUAUAAAGGAAUAAAGUGAUGCACGUGUGCCUUUUUGUAUGGACUUUAUGUAUAAGGAUCGGCUAACUCCGUUCCAGCAGCCGCGGUAAUACGGAGGAUCCGAGCGUUAUCCGGAUUUAUUGGGUUUAAAGGGAACGUAGAUGGGUUGUUAAGUCAGUUGUGAAAGUUUGCGGCUCAACCGUAGAAGUGCAAUUGAUACUGGCAGUCUUGAGUACAGAUGAGGUGAGCGGAAUUCGUGGUGUAGCGGUGAAAUGCUUAGAUAUCACGAAGAACUCCGAUUGCGAAAGCAGCUUACUAGUCUGCAACUGACAUUGAUGCUCGAAAGUGUGGGUAUCAAACAGGAUUAGAUACCCCGGUAGUC